UACGGAGGGUGCAAGCGUUAUCCGGAUUCACUGGGUUUAAAGGGUGCGUAGGAGGGCAGGUAAGUCCGUGGUGAAAUCUCUGAGCUUAACUCAGAAACUGCCGUUGAUACUAUCAAUCUUGAAUAUCGCGUAGGUAAGCGGAAUAUGUCAUGUAGCGGUGAAAUGCUUAGAUAUGACAUAGAACACCAAUUGCGAAGGCAGCUUACUUCACGAUCAUUGACACUGAGGCACGAAAGCGUGGGGAGCAAACAGG
rnacentral:rRNA from 1 species